GGGGAUAUAACCUGUGAAUUGGUUGUUCGUGACAUUGAAAUGAGACAAGUUCUUUGCUUGUUGGAAGAAGGAUGAUGGAAUUGCACCAUGGAACCGAUUGCUAGAAAAAUCCACCAUCCGAAUAUUAUUGGAUGAUGAUAGAGAACCUGGUAGCUCUCCAGAAAGAAAGUUAAAACUCAAAUCAAGUACCUCAAGACGACCCAGGGACAAGAAGAAUCCAGCUUGAUCUAAAGAACCACGAAGUGAAUUGCGAGAGAGAUUGAGGUAGGUUAGAUGUGUGAGAUUACUGAGUGAUGAUGAGGAAAAAAGAUCUCCUUUGAGUUUGAGGCCUUUGGAGGAUAGGUGCAAAUGGGUUACUCGACCAACCGCAUCACAAGUAAUGCCUUCCCAUUUGCAACAAUCCAAGCUAGUCCAAUUUAAGGAAGGAGAAGACAGAGUGAGGGCAAAAGACAAGAGAGAGGUUCUUUCACUUGAGGAGUAUGCAUGAAUAUGUGUAGAUGAAAUGGAGCCAAGUAGAAUAAGAAGCAAGUAUUGAGCUAUUGGGUGAUAAGGUUGCCCUGCUAGCAUCUUUCUUGGUUUGUGGGACAGUUCAGGUUUAGUUUGAGUUGCUCACCUAGCUAGCCUUGUGCUUGUUUAUAUAACCAAGAGCCUUCACUUUUUUCUUAGCUUCAAUUCUUGAAACAGUAGCCUUGCAUCAAAUUUUUCAUUGACGCUGGAGUCACUUAGAUACUGAUAAAGUAGCAUGAGGUUCACAUCCAAAACCAUUUGGCAAUGGGUGGAGUGGCCCAAACUCUUAUAAACCCACAUGCAAUGUCUCAUAUUCCCAAUGUGGGAUCGAUAUCUUAACACGCCCCCGCACGUUCGUGUGACCGUUACUCAUUCACACGUGGACAUGGAUAACCCGUUCUGAUAUCAUGAUAAAGUAUUAUGGGGUUCACAUCUAAAACCGAUUGGCAAUGGGUGGAGUGACCCAAACCUUUAUAAACUCACAGGUAAGGUCUCAUAUUUUCGAUGCAGGAUCGAUAUCUCAACAGAUACUCAUGACAUUUGACGCAUGCAUGUAGACUUCUCGAUUACAUGUGAAAUGGAGUUAUGGAGUGAACAACAAAGAUCAUGUUUGGCUGGGUGAGUAAUGUUUAUCAUGAAGGCAGACAUUGGGAUCCAGACAUUGUCGUUACAUCAAUUAAAUUAAGUCCAUGUUGGCGUGCUGUGUGCUGUUGAUGACUUUCAAAAUGUUGAUUUCUCUGAAAUGUGAGUGGGUUGUGACUUGUUAAGUUUUUGAUUAUUUGUAAACCUAACAUUGUAGAGGUUAUGACUCCGAACAAACUAUUAUAUGAGAAUAUGCGGGGUGGGAAAACAAACAGAAAGAAGGAAGAACUAAUUUCUAGUCUUGUGGUGUUAGUGACGAAGGGGAUGGAAGAACCCCCAUAGGAUGAGGAAGUCAGUGAAAUUAAUGACCUUGUAUUAAAUUUUUCAUUGACGUUGGAGUCACUAAGAUAUUGACGUCCGACGCACCCAUGUAGACUUCUUACUUACAUCUUGUAUGGCUCUGUGACCAUCAAAAAUCUAAGAAGAUAUAACUUUUAAGAAGAUAUACUAGAAAUGCAACUUAGUGACCAAUAAAAAUUUGGGAAGAUAUACUAGAGGAAAUAAAUAAGGAAUAAGUCAAGAAGUCAAUAACAAACUUGGGAAAGGACAGUAUUUCUCGGUUUGAAUAUUAGGCCAAUUACAUAUAAGUCCAUCCAAAUAGGUGAAAAAAUGUUUAAAAAGUGAUUAAGGUGAAAUUUUCUAUUGAAUAUUCUAAGUAGGCAACUUGCAAAGAAGGAGCUACUGUCAUGAAAACCAUAAGAAAGCCAAACCCCCUGAACCGGUCCACAUUACUACAACCAAAAACGCGCUUCUGAGGUCUGGUUUUUGACCAAUCUCACAUUUUCUACAUCACCUUCUUCUUUGUUCCUCUUCCCAUUUUACACUUCUAGUUUCCCUUCCGGAGACGUUUGGCAGACUUGACUAGAUUGGAUUGGCAAAGCCAGAUUGGAUUGGUAAAGGAUUUUGAUUUGCUACUCUUAUCUAGUGUUUGGAGCAACCAGAUAACAAUAUUACUGGAUAAGAAUAUUUAAACAAAAUCAAAUGAAUUAAAAGAAGAUAUCAAUUUAAAUUUCCAAUUAUUAUGAAAAUAAAUUGGAUGAAGUUUACAGAUCUGCAGAUCGAUAAGAUACAUCUUUGAAGAGAAUAGUCCAUAUCAGCUUUCAAUUUCUAGCCAUAGAUUUAGCCGAAAUGAGUCUAAUUUUGCUAUGUGAUUCCCUCUUCGGAUCAGAUCAUCCACAACGUGGUUGAGAAAAAUAAUUUGAUCAUGAAAUUCUUAAGAAAAAUACUAUUUCAUCCUUCCAAAAUCUAAAAUGACUCAAUUAUAUUGUAUUUUUUUUAUAUGAAAACAAUUUUUAUUCUUCAAUCAAGAAUCGAAAAUUUUCAUGUAAUUCAGUCAAUAGAUUUGCAUGACACGUACAUGUACGUGAAUUAGAACUUUGUUGCGUUCCGAAAUUUUUUUAACAAUACAUUCAUAUGAUAUUAUGCUUAUUUGUGUGUGUAUAUGAUGAGCGUUAGUUUCAUAAUACAAAGCUAACUCCCCAUUAACUAAAAUUUUCGGUCAUAUAUCUAGAUCUUCCAAUCUUCAGUUUAUAGUUCCCUAUGUGCGUUACAGAAAAUUUUCAGCCAAUCUAAUGAUGGUUUGGGUAUCGAGCAGUGUCAAAUUAAUGGACGAACCGAUAUUUAACUUAAACCGAUCAUGUUCAUAAUUAAUAAAUCACUAUUUUGAAUACCCAAACGAUUGUCAAAUUGGCUGGAAAUAUUCAGGGAUGAUCCACGCAUAGGGAACUACAUGCUGAACAAUGAAAGAUCCAGACAUAUGACCGAAAAGUUGGGUUAAGGGCGGGUUAGCUUUGAAUUAUGAAACUAACCGGUUAGUUCUAUAACGCAUCAUUCAGUUUGUGUGUGUGUGUAUACAAUCUCUAUCCACAGCGAAACUUCGUUUUGAAAUUAAAAUGUGAAGUGCAAUUUUUGACUCAUUUUUUAGUUAUAUUUUCACAUUUUCACCGUUCAGUUUACAGAAUCUAAUGCAUAGAUUGGUCUUAAGUGCUUAAAACGUCCUGUUUAGUUUGUAAACACACAGUGUUUCGUGCUAUCGGUGUGACCGUGUUAGGUAGCCGUGAGAUGUAGUAACCAGUGUCAGAAUGACACGUGUCUGUCAUGUCCACGACUCAUCUAUAUGAGCUGCUGCUUUCUUCUUUUGAGAUAUGCAUGACCUAUUUUUUUUUGUUAACUUUUUUAUUAAAUAACUUACACACUUUUAUAUCGGUGAUGUUUGAAUUCAUGAUGAAAUCAACGUUGUUGAUUAAGUUACCGAAUCAACCAGGCACGGCUCACGAACUAUGCAUGACCAUUUUACUUUCUUAGAUAUUUUAUUGACACUUUCAUUUUCUUCUAAAACGUUAGGGUUAGAACCCCAACACUCUUUUGGGGAUAAAGUUAACCAAGAGAGAAGUUCCAGAAUGAGAAUCUGCAAUUGUAUUACACUAUUACAAGUUUACAACCACCAUCAGAAUCCAUCACAAUAUCAUGCAUAGAAGCAUGUUCAAGUCCUAUCAUGGUAUACAUCUCCAUUGAAAAAUUUGAAAGUAGAAUAUCGAAUAUGCUUUUUUUUAGGGUGGUGCUAUAUUAACACAUCUUUUUUUUUUUCCUAUUAACACAUCAUAUAUAUAAUGAGAACCAAUUAUCGAUCAAAUUCAAGUGACAAGUUUGUAAAUAAAAUAAAAAUAUGUGGAUAGAAAAAUAGAUGAAGUGUAUUAAUAGCAAUAAUUGGGUGUGGUAAUAACAAUACCCUUAUAAAUAGGCGAUNNNNNNNNNNNNNNNNNNNNAGACUGAGAGAGAGUUAGAGAUAGACGAUGAAAUUUGGAAUACUCGCCUAUUUAUAAAGAGAUUUUUAAGAAGAUGAAUCUUCUUCAUAACUCUGGUAACGGGUACUUGAUUUGCUUCAUUUUUGCUAGUAUAUUACACGAAACGCUGAAAAUUGUUAGAGAUUGCGCGAUUUAUGUUGAGUUUUUUUUUUUUUUUCCUGAUAUCUUCAUUAAAAAAGAUUUUGGGACCCUAAAUUUUAGGUUAAGGCCUAUCGCCCUGCUUGCCCAGAACCAGGGCCGGGCCUGUAUAAGUACUGUUUAAGCAAUAAGAUUGUCAUUUGUUUAUUUAGAUCGUUAGAAAUUUAGUUCAUUUGUAGGCUCCCUUGAAGGAUGAGGUUGUUUUAUGCACACCAAUAAUUCUAUGACUUGUGGAUACUAGGAGUUGACACACAAACUGUAUCCACGGAACACAGAUAUAGGAUACUGAGAUGGAUUGCGAGUCAUUACAGAAAUAUUUUUAACAGUUUUAUUAUAGGAUAGAAUAGUACUUAUGUUGAACUGUCAUGCUGUACAUGUAAGUACGUAGUGUAGUAAAAUAGAGCUGUAUAACAUAAAAGCUCCCUAGCCUCUUGAUAUUUCUCUUAUUCAUAUUCACUAUUUGACUAUAGUUUGACGGUACUAUGGAGCGCUUGGUGUUGGUGUAUUUCCACUCCUUCCCCAGAUCCCUGCAAAGUAAACAAAAUGGAAAAUGUACGUAUAUAUGGUAUUAGUUUAGUGAAUGAAACACUGGCACCACUCUAGUUUAACCCUAAAAAUGAGAAUGGGUUCAACCAACUAGUUACUGAUACACUUUCUGGAAAAGAAAAUGAAAUUGCACUUGUAUAUAUCAACUGAAUUGUUGUGGGUUAGAUAGGAAGAGAGAAAAAACAAAUACCUUCAAUGGGGGUGCCGGAUGGACCUGAAUUAAGGGAGACCAAACCGUUGUGAUUACACUUAGUAAUGCCCAUCCGACGAGGGUGACAAUGAAUAGAAAUCCGAUUUGAGGGAGAAGAUGACAGACCAGUUGAGCUGUGUUGAGGUUGGUUGGAUGCAUACGCAUGAAGAAUGUUAUUAGUAGAUAGAAAGGAACAGAAGAAGAUCAGGAAGAGAAAGAUUCUGCCCUGAGCCAUUGCCAUUUCUCCGGUAAGUUCAGUAUGAUUUCUCACCUAGUAUUGCCGGCUAUAUAUGGUAAAUUAGGAUUAUUUUGAUGCAAAUAAGUCAACAGAAUAGGCUAUCUCUCUGGUCCAAGUUGAUUAAGCCGAUUGAGACACGACCAGAAAGUCUAUAACCCAAUCUGACUGGCAUUACAUCUUUCGUUUUAGUCAAGAUAGAUCAUUAACCUUCGAACCAGUUAAACGAAAAUGAAAUGUUUUGACAAUACAUUGUAGCGGCGUAUUGAAAAAAUCGUAGAGGGUUCAGGGUUUGGAUCCUCUUACGCAUUGUGUACGUAGUCUACAGUAUAAUUCCCAUAUUAUUACUUCUGAUUUGUAUGUAGAAGAAGACUGCAGAAGAAGUUUGAGACAGACAACUUUGCCAACCUUUACAUAUCUAUAUUACCGGCAGCAAACAACUUUAACAACGGGAAAUAUACUGCAUAUGCAUGACCUUUCAGUCUAGCUUCCAUUAAGCCUGUUCUUCAUCCUUUUGAUCCCCACAUGCAGCUUUCAUCACAUAGAGGCUGUCAUAUGCAUUAUUGAGAAAUUGGAAAUAAGCAUAUCUCCAGGUCUUGAUAAAAAUCAAAGAACCACAUACUGACCAAAAUCCUACGAAAAACCCAAGCACAACUGGAAAUAUAAACCAUGGGACCUGAUCCUGUUGUUAUCAUCUCCAUCAAGGUCAUCAUUUGGGAGUGCUGGUUGGCAUUCAUAUGGAAGUGGAAGACAACAGAGGUUGGGAUUCCCCUCAAAUGCAGAUGCACCGAAGCUUUGCAACUGAGUGCCUGUUGGUAUUUGUCCUUCCACAUUAUUGUAUGAGACAUUAAAUACUGCCAAGAAAUUAAGGCUUGUUAAUGAUGCAGGCAUAUUUCCAGAGAAAUGAUUUACGGAGAGAUCCAAUGUUGCCAAGUCUUUGAGGUUGGAUGUUUGGUCUGGAAUCUUGCCUGAGAAGAAAUUGUUUGCAAGGUUCAACACACGGAGAAGCUUCGAUUGGCCAAUCUCAUUCGGUAUAUAUCCAGUCAUGUUAUUGUUCAUUAGUACUAAGGCCACUGGAAAUAACAACAAAGAAUUGUAUUGUUGAGCUCGCUUGCCAUCAGCAGUGAAGUAGAUAGGCAAUUCGAGAUCAUCACUGGACAAGUUGUUGUUUUGAGAUACCAACAUUGGCACUUUGGCAGGCUGCAAAGUUCCUUUGGAAAUUCCCCAGAAAUGAGGUUGGCUCCCAAGUCUAUGUGUAAGAGCCUAGGAAGAGUCCCAAGCUGACUAGGAAUUUGUCCUUUGAAUUUAUUUGUAUUCAGAUUCAAAACCUCUAGUUUCUUGAGCUUAGAUAACCAUACAGGUAUUUGACCGAUGAGCUCGUUCUGACUCAAAUCCAAAAAUCCAAGAUUUUUGAAUCCAUCAAAAUCAGAUAUGCCAAGAUUAGCUGGAACUGCCCCCACUUGGAAACUAGAUGCCAAGGAUAAGAACACUAGACUUUCGCAACGCAUGAGUAUCUUGAUUGCCCCUGUGAGAUUUGUCAAUCUAUUGAAAGAAAGCGAGAGAUAGGACAAGGAUUUCAAUGACUGAAUUCAUUAAAAUGGAGAUCAAGGAUUGCAAGGUUUGUGAGGUUGAAAAUGCCAUCACUAAGGACUCCGUAAAGUGAAUUGCGAGGUAAUGAUAUUUCUACAAGAGUGAUUACAUUAUACAUAUCUUCCGGAAUCCUACCGUCCGUCUUGACCUUUAGUUGUUUUGGACUUUGGUUACUCUUCUACCAUGUUUAUGGUUUGUUAAUGCUUUUUGCAUUUUUUAUUAUUUUUAAGGGGCGUUGGUCUCAAGUCCUCCCCUUUUUGUUGUUUUACCUCUCUUUAAUUAAAUAAAAUUUCUUGUUUUGCCCAAAAAAAAUAAAUACAUAUCUUCUGGAAGUAUUCCCAAAAGGUUGUUAUACCCAGCACGAAACACCUUGAGCUUGGAACACUCCCCUAGUCCAGGAGAUAUACUGCCGUUGAAGUUAUUGGAAGAAAAAUCUGACAUUCUGAUCAAUGGAGAAGAAGUGAAACAAAUGGGAGAUGGUAUGGAUCCUUUGAACUUAUUAUUGCUGACAUUGAAACUUGUCAGAAGAAUGAAGAUGGAAUGUCAGCAUUGAAAGAAUUAAUUGCUGAACAAAUAAUCCAGCAUCCGGAUACUCCCGGAUAGUGGAGAAAUUGGUAGUUCUCCAGAGAGAAUGUUAUAGCUCAAAUCAAGAUCAGAUGGCGGUUGGUGGUUGAGGACUUGAGAUCGUCGAUCAUCUUAGUGUGACAGUGGUCAGAUACAAGGCUAAUGAACAGUCGUGGAAGGAUGCACGGCUAGCUUGAACAAUAUUUCUGUCUCACUGAUCUUUCAACUCAAACUAAAAAUUGAAGGAGAGCCUUCCUUUUUUGAUGUGUAGAAAACAAGGAAGGAGCUAAGCAUUACUGUGUUGGUAUUGAUAUGGAUGCUUUUGGUUUCAUUAUUGCCUUAUUGGUGGCUUUGGAGAAGGAACUGACAUAGACAUGGUGAUGAAAAGACCUUGAAUCAUGAAGAGUUCAACGAAAAGAAAUGUUUGCUUUCUCCACUAGCAGUAGCAGUAGAAUUUCAUCAGCAGAAUAGAAAGGGCGGCGGAAGGAGGUGGUGACGACGGCAGGAGAUGGAGGGGGAGAAGAGCGAGCUCAGAGAAGGUAGUCUCAGAGAUACAGCCAUUUUUGGUGGGCCACACAGCCCGUUAAGGACCGCACCACUUGGACCGUCUAGCCCCACGUCACAUCUGCCUAGCCCGCAGGAAUUAUAAUCAGGCCCAACUUGUUUUAGACCCAACCCCCUCUUUUGUCUUUUUAAAUGGUGGACCCCUAAAGCCCGUUAAGGCCCGCUCAGGGCUGACCGCCUAGCCAUAGCACUUUUUUCUAGCCCGCAUGAAAUUAUUUUUCUUUUAUAUUUUCUUUUUACCUCUUAAAUUCUGGAAUUGGAAUUCCGCAGAGACGAAACAGAUGCAAAACAGAAUGAAACCGAAAGACAACGAUAAGAAGAAGAAUAAGAAGAAGAGAGAUCAUGAGAUUGAUGAUGAUUCUGAUUCUGUUUCUGGUGGUGAUGCGCAAGCGGUUGUGCAAGACUUGCUGAAGGAGUUUCCGAAUAUCGGGUGCGAUUUGAAGCAGCUUUUGCAAUUGAUCGAUGGCGGCAAAGCGGUCGACAUAAACGGAAUAGGUCAGAAGUGUCUGAUCAAGCCUCUCAGAGCUCUGUUCCUUUGCUUGGUUCUUAAGGAACUAGAUCACGGAUCUUUUGUUGCCUCCACAUGUUCCUCCAACUUUGGAGGUUAUUGGGUCCUUGAUCACGCCUUGUUUAGAUUUAGAUGAUGAAGAUGAUGAUCAUGGUCCUCCUCCUCCUUAUAGAAGGCCAAUUGGUCCGGAGAUGCCGACGCCAGAGCUACUUGCUGCUGCAGCCAAAUUGAGAGAGGCAGAGGCCGAGUUGAGGGAAGCUGAGUUGGAAGAAAAAGAUGAUGGUGUUUUAAUAGGGCCUGCACCGCAUGUUGCGGCUGCUGAAGUUGAAUCAGCUAACCAGGGUGAUCGUUUCGAAGAGGUGACAAGGAUCAUGGAAGCAGAGGAUGAUAGCAUGUAUGAUAUAUUGGGAGCAAACCACAAUGUGUCUGCUGAUAACAUCAAGAAAAGGUACCGGAAGUUGUCGCUUUUGGUGCACCCUGAUAAAUGCUCUCACCCUCAAGCUAGCCAAGCAUUUGUAAAGCUGAACAAGGCGUUUAAGGAGUUACAGGAUCCGCAGAAGCGGAGAGCGCUGGAUGAGAAGAUUGAGGUUAAGGAGAAGCAGGAAAGAUUCAAUGUGGAGUUGACGGCAAUGCGGGAAGCUGCAAUGUGAGCAAUGUGGAGAAAGAUGCAGGGGAUUUACAAGGAGGGUGAUGAGAAGCUACUGGCAGGUGAUGUGAGUGUUGUUAAAUCGGCACGAAAGAGAGAUGAGUGGAUGACAGAGCUUCCACCGGAGAGGAAACAUGGUACGAGUACAAUGCAAUCGACAAUAUUUAGCAGGAGUGCUAAACAAGGGCGUGGGGACACUAGCAGUUGGACUGAUGCUCCUGAGAGAGCUCGAAAAGCUAAGAUGGAUUACUUACAAGCGUGUAAUGAGUUUGCAUCACUUGCUUCGAAUGAGGAGGAGAGGAAGAGGAGUUUAGAUGCAGAGUUAAUGGACAGAUACAAUAAAGAGAAACGAUCGAAGUCAUUGUUACAAAAGCACAAAGAGGAGAUUAGAGCGAGCCGUUUGAAGAGAAAGUACUCCAAGCAACAGGUAGAGGUCCAGUAUUGUGAGGUUAGUCAGGUUGAUAAUUUUAUCAUUAAUGGCUCCAGAUAACGAAUUUCGAGCUAAUGAAAUUUCUUCAAGUGCAGAAGCAUUGUAGAUAUCGUCUGGAAGUAAUCCUGACUCCUGAGAGGUAAUUAUAACCGGCACGAAAGACCUGCAGUUCGGAACAUUUCCCGACUCCACGAGGAAUACCACCAUUGAAAUUAUUGAAGGAAAAAUCAAGGUGUCGUAACGAGGAACAAGGAAGACAAAUAGAGGAUGGGAUAGGACCUGAAAAGGUGUUACUGACAUUGAAACUAGUCAAGUUCCAAGCUUGUUGGAAAAAAGAAGAUGGAAUCAGACCAUGUAAGCGAUUAAUGGAAAAAUCCACCAUCUGAAUAUGACUGGAUGGUAGAGAAGAUGGUAACACUCCAAAGAGAAGGUUAUAGCUCAAAUCCAGGAUUUCGAGAUCAUUCAAGGACAAGAAGAGCUCAGUUUGAUCUAGAGAACCAAAAAGGGAAUUGUGUGAGAGAUUCAAGUAAGUGAGAUGUGUGAGAUUUGCAAGUGAUGAUGAGGGAAAAAUACCUUCCUUUAGUGUGAGCCCUUUGGAGGGUAAUCGCAAGUGGGUUACCCAAUCAUAUCGAUUACAAGUAAUCCCUUCCCAAUAGCAGCAAUUACUAGAAGUCCAGAAUAAGGAAGGGGAAGAUAGAGUGAGGGCAAAGGACAAGAGAGAGGUACGUUCAGUUUGGAUGCAUGCAUCAAUAUUAUGAGUAGAUAAAAUGAGAGAAAACAAGAUUAGCUUGAGAAUAAAGCCUUGUGUCACUGGGUACUCUUGUUGUACUGUUAUGUUUUUUCGAGGCUGAGCCAUGAUCAUGUGGUUGUGGACUUGUGAUAGAUUUUGAUCGUCAGUUUUUGCAUAUAUACAGAUUGAAGCAGAUUUGAAAUUCCAAGACGACCCAGAUUAUAUAUGAUACAUCUUGUCAAUGAAAUUAUACAAUUGGAAGAAAAUAAAACACGGCUGCAUAUAUUAAGGUGGAAAAUAGAAGCAAUGGCAUAUGGACAGAAGAAGGAAAAGCGCGGCUGGCGCCUGCUCCAGGUAACAAUUGAGGAGUAUGGUUUUCAUAUAUAAUAGCUAGCAGUUAGCAGAAGAACAAAUUUAGUAGAAACUAUGCUCUACUUCCAGAAGAUACUAACAUAAAGUCUUAAUUUACAACACCGAGAUCUUUAAAUUGGCAGCUAAGUAUAUAUUAUAGCAUAAAACACCAAAAACAGAGUUGCGGAGAGCUUCAGUAUUUCCAAUGUCUAGCUAGAUGUGUUGACCAUACAAAAUAUUGGAUAGCCUGAAGCUUGCAAAGUUAGUCUUCUUAGGAUGACAAGUAAUCAGAAUGUACUAAGCCUUCUAGAUAGUGUCCUUUAGUCUUUUCUUUUCCUUUUCUUUUUCUUUAAUUUUUCUGCCAUUAUCUCUUCAAAAGAAUGAACUAAGCUUUCUUAAUUUAGUUGGACCACUGUAAGAGAUAGGAUGAGUAUAUAUAUAAUUAUUUACACAUGUAGUUAUUUGUAAAAUUCCUGGCAGCUGCUUAAUUAAUUAAAUAGAUUAUUAAGAUGUCAAUCAUAGAAGAAGAAGAGUAAGAUGCUGUCUACCCAAUAGAAAAAAGAAAAAAAAGAAGAAGAAGAAGAGUGGAAACAAAAAUUUGACUUGAAUAGAAGUACAAGUAUCUAAGAACAGUAUCAUGAAAACAAAGAGUACUGUGUCUUGCAUAAUAAGUAAAACUAAAAUACACUGAAAUUAAGAAUAAGUUCAAACUUCUAGCCUCAGAAGAAUUCUUUCCAACCCGCCCUUGUUAUGCAGACUGUCCAAUCUCAUUCAUAAUUUGAGCCUCUCUUGUACAGUAUACAGGAAAUUGAAAUAUGCAUCCCUCCAGGUCUUGAUAAGCAAUAAUGAACCACAAACUCCCACUAACCCUAUAAUGAAGCCAAGCACAACGGAAAUAGACAAGCCUAGAAUUUGAUUCCCGUCAUUCGUAUCAUCAUCUGAAUCAGUACCAUUGAAUGGUUGGCACGGAUUUAAAAGCGGGGAACCACAAAGCUUUGGAUUCCCCUCAAAUGCUGAGACAUUCAAGCCUUGGAGCUGAGUGCUUUUUGGUAUUUCCCCUUCCAAAUUAUUAUACGAGACAUUUAAAGAUGACAAGAAACUAAGAUGCGCCAAUGAAGCUGGGAUUUCUCCUGACAAAUGAUUCAUUGAAAGAUCCAAAAUCUCCAAGUUUUUGAGAUUAGAUAUUUGGUCUGGAAUGUUGCCUGACACCAGGUUGGCGCUGAGAUCAAAUAUAUGGAGAAGUUGCAGCUUUCCGAUUUCAGUAGGUAUAUUGCCACUGAUGCUAUUGUUGCCUAACAAUAUAGAUGGUGGAUAGUAAGACAAGGAAUUGAACUGUAACAUGCUUGCAUCAGGCAUGGCUUGGGAGACGUGGAGAGGCAAUUCAAGAUAACCAUGAUCUACUUGAGCUGCAGUUUGUUCAGAUACCAACAUUGGUAGUGAGCAAAGUUCUUUUGGAAUUUCACCUGUGAUUAGGUUGGACGCCAAGUUUAUAGAACAGAGCAUUGGAGAAGUCCCCAACCAAGUAGGAAUUGAACCUGUGAUUCUAUUACGUGACAUAUCCAAGAUCUCUAGCUUCUUGAGCUUAGACAACCACAUAGGUAUCUGACCGGUUAGCUCACAACCAUUCAAAGCCAAAAUCCUAAGAUUUUGGAACCCAUCAAGGUCAGCGAUGUGAUCACCAUCUGGCAUUUCUUCACCUAUGAAGUUGUAUGAAAGAAUGAGUACUGUGAGAUUUCUGCCCUUCAAUAUAUCCAUAGCACCUGUGAGAUUGAUCAGUCUGUUCCCAGAAAGUGAUAGGAAGGAUAGGUGUUUUAAUGAGGCAAUCUCGGGUUGUAUUUGUCCCUGUAGAUUGUUGAAGCUUAAUCGAAUUGCUCUAAGGGACUUGCAUGAGUAAAGGCUUAUUGGCAAGAUACCAGUAAAAUGAUUACUCAUGAAGUCAAGUUUACGAAGUUGACCAAGUCUAGAGAAAUUAUAAGUUGAGAUAUCUCCGUCCAAAAGGUUGAAUCCUAGAUUCAGUUCCAUAAGGUUUGUGCAAUUCAGCAAAGAUGGUGGCAAAGAACCUUCUAGAUUGUUGGAAUGAAGGAGCAAGACUUUCAAUUUGGAGAGCUUCCCAAUAUCUAUUGGAAGCAUGCCACUGAACUGAUUCAAGUAGAGGUCAAGUACUGUGAGGUUAGUAAGUUUAACAAUUCUGUUACUGAUGCCCCCUCUAAAAGAAUUUGCAGGGAUUGCAAGUUCUUCUAGUGCGGUAGAAUCAUAGAUAUCUUCCGGAAGUGAUCCUGAGAGGUUAUUGUGACCAGCACGAAAAACUUCCAGUUUGGAACAGUUUCCUAGUGUGCGAGAGAGAUUGCCUCCAAAAUUAUUGUAGGAAAAAUCUAAUAGCCUAAUCAAAGAAGAGUGGACACAAAUAGGGGACGGGAUAUAACCUGUGAAUUGGUUGUUCGUGACAUUGAUAUGAGACAGAUUCUUUGCUUGUUGGAAGAAGGAUGAUGGAAUUGCACCAUGGAAUCGAUUGCUAGACAAAUCCACCAUCCGAAUAUUAUUGGAUGAUGAUAGAGAACCUGGUAGCUCUCCAGAAAGAAAGUUAAAACUCAAAUCAAGUAUCUCAAGAAGACCCAGGGACAAGAAGAAUCCAGCUUGAUCUAAAGAACCAUGAAGUGAAUUGCGAGAGAGAUUGAGGUAGGUUAGAUGUGUGAGAUUACUGAGUGAUGAUGAGGAAAAAAGACCUCCUUUGAGUUUGAGGCCUUUGGAGGAUAGGUGCAAAUGGGUUACUCGACCAACCGCAUCGCAAGUAAUGCCUUCCCAUUUGCAACAAUCCAAGCUGGUCCAAUUUAAGGAAGGAUAAGACAGAGUGAGGGCAAAAGACAAGAGAGAG
rnacentral:lncRNA from 1 species